UCUUGAAAGUCUGUUACUGUGGCCAUAGACACUGCCCGAGGGAAACUUGGUGGAAUGAGUGGAGAUUGGUCGGGACAUGUCUAAGGAGCCAGGUAGAAAACAACCAGAGCAUUGAAGCAGGUACCUUGCACAUGCCGUCUCCUGGCAGUCACUGCUGUAUCUCCAGUCUCUGUGCAUUUGCCUGCUCUGAACAUCUCAGAAAAAGGGAAGCAUACAACAGGUGGCUCUUCUGCCUGGCUCCAUCCGGUUAUAAGGUUCACCUUUGUAGCACGCGACAGUACUUUGCUCCUUUCCAAUAAUCAUUAUAGAGAUAUGUUACAUUUUUUUUUAUCCACUCACAAGUUGACGGACAUAGUGUUGUCUCUACUCUUUAGCUGUUAUGAGCAAUGCUGUUAUGAACCUCGAGGAACAACAUGAACGUGUGUUUUCAGUUCUCCUGGGCAUAUGAAUGGGUCACACACCACGUUUUACUUCUCAGGGGACUGACGGGUUGUUCCCAAAGCAGCUGUGCCACCUGCCAUCCACACACCAUGGAGGUCUGAAAUCUACAUCCUCACAAGCACAUGAUGUUGUGUACAGUUGUUACAAUAGCCAUGCCGAUCGGAUUGUCAUUUUUAUCAUGGAUUUGUAUGAAUGACAGAGAAGAACGCAAUUUACCAUGGCCCGGGUGGGCAGAGAGCAUGAGUAGAGAAUGUUAACCACGGAAGCCUUCCUGGAGGAACUAAUGUCUAGCAUGAUCCGGAAGAGGCUCAAGACGACCGGUCACCAAAAGCAUAAUCUCGACAAGCUGAGAAAGUCAGAAUGAUUCUUACCCAAGUGCGGUUUUACCCAAAGGCUCUGUUCGUUUCAUAAUGCUUGACAUGACCUGGAUUCAAAUGGGUGGAGAACUGUAGGAGCAGGAAACAGAAACAGCCCAUUAAAUAACUCGAAAGGCGUUAGCACAGCUUCAGUGAUUUUCGCAGCUAUCUGCCAAUCUA